AUUGAACGCUGGCGGCAGGCUUAACACAUGCAAGUCGAGCGAGCGGCGGACGGGUGAGUAAUGUCUGGGAAACUGCCUGAUGGAGGGGGAUAACUACGGGAAACGGUAGCUAAUACCGCAUACCAUCAGAUGUGCCCAGCUGGGAUUAGCGAGUAGGUGGGGUAAUGGCUCACCUAGGCGACGAUCCCUAGCUGGUCUGAGAGGAUGACCAGCCACACUGGAACGUGUACACGGUCCAGACUCCUACGGGAGGCAUCAGUGGGGAAUAUUGCACAAUGGGCGCAAGCCUGAUGCAGCCAUGCCGCGUGUGUGAAGAAGGCCUUCGGUUUGUAAAGCACUUUCAGCGAGGAGGCGUUACUCGCAGAAGAAGCACCGACUAACUCCGUGCCAGCAGCCGCGGUAAUUC
rnacentral:rRNA from 1 species